rnacentral:lncRNA from 1 species
UUUCUUCUAAAACACAGCAAAUCCUUUUGAUAAAAAAAAGUCAUCAACCCAUUAUGCUGGGGUUUCAUUUAACAUACAACUGUCGAACCACUAUCAUAUUUGGUGGCCGAUGGUGCGCAAAUAGUAACCCGAUCUUGCCAACGGAGGAGCCCGACUAUGCCCAAGGGAAAUUGGUAAGUAUAUUCUUUCCCCUUCUCUUCUUUAUAUUUAAAAAAAUCUUCAAAUCUCAUGCUAUUUUUUCAAAAAAAAAAAAAACCAAAGCGAGAUUUCAACAUUGUUCGACCCCUCGCCCAGACCUCCAUGUUUUCGAGGUGUUUGGGCUCUCAUCAGCGUCGACUCAUGUGUCAUUUUCUCAUAUUAAAAAAUCUAAACAAACAAAAAGAGAAGAAAUAAAUCGAAAAGAAAAGAAACAAAACUUGAGAUCACCUUUAAAAAACUAUUCUCUGGUUGCUUUUUUAAAUUUUUAUUUGUAUGCAUAAGUAUUUACAGUACAAACGAUGGCUUUUUAUAGCCGAAAAAAUAAGAAUUAAAACUAAAAAAAUUGAUUUUAUUUUCUUUUAUUUUCUAUUCUUCUACUGUAUUUGGUGCUGUUACAUUCUGCUAUUUUUUUUCUUCUCGUAGGUUCGACUGUACGAAGAGGUGGACGGGGCAAUGGCGCUGGAGAUCCUUGCUGAGGAGGCUACGAUGUUGGCCCUAGGGUUUCAGUCCCUGAAACUGAAAUUGGGCCACCUGAUUUGGGUUUCAAUUGGGUUUCGGGUUAGGUUAAUUGUGUUAAAGAUUUGUAUUUGGGCUAAGAUUUGGCCUUGGUUUUAUUUGGGCUUCAAUUAAUGCUUUGGGUCUUUGUAUUUAUAGACUGUGGACAAUUUAUAAACUAUAUUUUAUUUUUUAUUUGGUUUAUUUAUUUGUUUGUAAAUAAAUUUAAAGGCCUAGGCGAAAUGGGCCUUCUAUCGUUGCCCCUCUUUGCUCAUUGUCGUAUAACGGGAAUAGAGCAAAGACUUUACAAGGUCCGAUUUUACUCAGUUUUGCUGAAUCUUGACUUUUUGGCAUUUCUUUUCCUCAAGUAGCCCCACUGCAUCUGCUCUACUGUAAGUUUAGCGGAAUAAGGCUGGUGGCUAAAAUCUGUUUUUUUGCUACCUUGGAGAGAUAAGAUUCGCCAUCUUCGAUCUGCUCCGCUACCACUUAGGGAGAUAAGAUCUACAAUCUUCAGUCUACUCUAGUACAACUUCAGGGAGAUAAGACUUGCUUUAAUCUACUCCACUGCCACUUUAGGGAGAUAAGACUUGCUUUGAUCUGCUCCAUUGCAACCUCAAGGAGAUAAGAUCUACCAUAUUGAGUCUGCUUCAUUGCUACCUCAGGAGGAUAAGACUACAAUCUUCAACUUACCCUCUUGCUACCUUAGAGAGAUAAGGCUGGUGGCUAAAAUUUUCUCCCCUACUGCCUCGGGAAGAUAAAAUUUGCCAUCUUUGAUCCGCUCCACUACUACUUAGGGAGAUAGGAUCUACAAUCCUCAGUCUGCUUCCUUGCUACCUCAGGAAGAUAAGACUACAAUCUUUAAUCUACUCUCUUGCUACCUCAGAGAGAUAAGGCUGGUGGCUAAGAUUUUCUCCCCUGCUACCUCGGGAAGAUAAAAUUCGCCAUCUUCGAUCCGCUCCACUACUACUUAGGGAGAUAGGAUCUACAAUCCUCAGUCUGCAUCCUUGCUACCUCAGGAAGAUAAGACUUCAAUCUUCAACCUGCUCUAUUGCUACCUCAGAUAGAUAAUGCUUGUGGCUAAAAUCUGCUCCCCCGCUAUCUCGGGAAGAUAAGAUUUGCCAUCUGCGAUCUGCUCCACUACUGCUUAGGGAGAUAAGAUCUUCAAUCUUCAAUCUAAUUCUCUGCAACUUCAAGGAGAUAAGGCUUGCUUUGAUCUGCUCCGUUGCAACUUCAGGGAGAUAAAAUCUGACUUCACCGAUGUUAUUACACCGUCCUCUAGGACAGGUUCUGUACAAUCGGUUUCAUGCACCUAUGCUUAUGCCAAAUAAUUAGGAUGCUAUGAUCGAAAUGAAUUAAACGCUCCUAACUAGAUGUGUUAUGAAUGAUAUAUUAAUGUAGAAAUGAGAAUGAUCUUUUUUUUUAAAUGCUUUAAAGUAUCAUUGCUCAUUGUUCAUCAGGACGUUGUCACUGACGUAUUACGCUGCCAUCUCUCUCAAUCGGUAUUUUGAUAGAGUACCCAAAGAAACAAUCACAUUCUACUCAGCAAACUUGUCCCACUGUAAUUUCAAGGUCCCUUCCAUUGUUCUUUUUGGAACAAAAAGUUUAUACCUCCCAUUGCAACUCAUGGGUGUAAGAUUUGAAUUCUUCCAUCAAUUCGGUUUGUUACCAUUCCUCGGGUAUCAUAACCAGAUGUGUAUGCCAAGUAUCAUUUUCCUUUUCUAAAAAAUGAUCCCCUUUUACACUGAUCAAUUUUUUGUCGAAAUUGUAUCACCGAUGCCAUAUCUUGUCCUUUUGUUCAAUCAUCAUUUUGGACAAAGAUCUAAGGAGAUAGUUCUCAACUUAAACCCCACCUACUCAGAUAUUUCCUGAAGCUUGGUAAGUUCUAAACAACAGUCCUAUUUCAGGUUUUUAUAUUGUUUAGAAGCUUUUAGAGUAAUAUGCGAAACUUCUAUUGUGUAACAUGUUAUUAAUUCAUUAACCAUUAUUCCAAUGCAACAUGUUUGCAACAGAUCAAAGCAAUGUCUAGGAAUAGAAUUGAAUUAGAGCAUAACUCAAAAUGAAUAAAUUAUCAAAUAUAAAAAUGAAAAUCAAUUGGGAAUGCAUAUCUUGAGAAAGGAAAAAUAACCAAUUUAUUAUGAACAAGGUGAAGAUUAGGUACCCCUAAUAUCACAACCUGAGUUUCUCUGUACAAGCUUCUUAAAGACUAAUUGAAACUUGACAUGUGUUUAGGAGAUCAGGAGUACUCUGUCAAUGCCCCAAGACGCAGCAUACUCCUUUUCUUUAUUAAUUCAGGUAUAGCAAGAUCAUCGCCUUCCUCCUCUUGGAUCAAAAUUUGAGCUACUCUUUUCGGGUUUUCAACUCAAAUCCUCUUUGGUCUCAAGGCGCCUAUUGCGGGUUUUCACAUUGGCCUCUCCUUUUUUUUCUUUUUAUUUUUUAUUAAUUCUCAAAGUGCCAUUUGCGGGUUUUCACCUUGGCCCCUUUUUUUAAAUAGAUCACAAAGCACCCUUUGCGGGUUUUCACUUUGGCCUAUUUCCUUCUUCAAGUAUAGUACUUCUUGAUUACAUCCGAAUUCAUAGGAUUAGGCAAGUUUUUCCCAUCUAUUUCAGCUAGAAUCAAUGCUCCUCCGGAGAAAGCUUUCCUCACCACGUAAGGCCCCUCCCAGUUUGGCAUCCAUUUCCCUCUGAAAUCCUUUUGUAUAGGAAGGAUCUUUUUUAGAACCAGAUCUCCCUCAUGAAAUUCUUUUGGGAAAGCCUUUUGUUCAUAAGCCUGCAUCAUUCGUUUUUGAUACAUCUGACCAUACUGGAUAGCCUUUAGCCUCUUUUCCUCAAUUAAGUUUAACUGAUUAUAUCGAGACUGUAUCCAUUCUGCUCCCUCUAGCCUUAGUUCUGACAAAACUUGGAGGGAAGGUAUCUCUACUUCGAUCGGUAAAACUGCCUCCAUUCCAUAGACCAAAAGUGUUGCCCCAGUAGAAGUUCUGAUAGAUCUUCAGUAAGUGUAGAGAGCGAAUGGUAACUUCUCAUGCCAAUCUUUGUAAGUUUCGGUCAUUUUUCCCACAAUCUUCUUGAUAUUUUUAUUGGCUGCCUCCACUGCCCCAUUCAUUUUUGGGCGAUACGGGGAUGAGUUAUGGUGUCAAAUCUUGAACUGACUGCAGACCUCUGCUAUCAUCCUGUUGUUCGAAUUUAAUACAUUGUCAGAUAUAAUCCUCUCGGGCAUUCCAUAACGACAUAUGAUUUUUUUCUUUAAAAAUUUGCUAAUUGCCGAUUUAGUCACAUUGACAUAUGAAGCAACCUUCACCCACUUAGUGAAAUAAUCAAUGACCACAAAGAUGAACCGAUGCCCAUUUGAGGCCUUCGGUAUGAUUGGCCUUAUGACAUCCAUGCCCCCCAUGGAGAAAGGCCAUAAGGGAAGUCAUAACAUGCAACUGUGAAAGAGGUACAUCAAUUUUAUCAACAUAAAUUUGACAUUUGUGACACUUCUUGGCAUAACUGAUGCAGUCCCCUUCUAUGGUAGACCAGUAAUAUCCAAAUCUCAUAAUUUGUCUAGCCAUUGUGAAACCAUUAGCAUGUGUUCCACAAACGCCUUUACGAACUUCUUCCAAAAUUUUUUUGGCUUCCACAGUAGCUAUACAUCUCAAUAGUGCCUGAUCCUUUCUUCUUUUGUAUAGGAUCUCCUUAUCUAACACAUAAUCAUAGGCUAGCCUUCUCAAUGUCCUUUUGUCAUUCUCCGUUACUUGGUCAGGAUACUAACGAUUUUUCACAUAUUGCAAUAUAUCUUGAUACCAAGGGUGAUAAUCUUUUCCUUCUUUCUCUAUGUUGUAACCCUGAGAUGGAUCCUCAUAAACACUCAUUUGAAUGGGCUUUACAUCUUCUUGCUUGCUUACUUUGAUCAUGGAAGCUAAAGUAGUCAAAGUAUCUGUCAUCUGGUUUUAAUCUCGUGAGAGAUAGUGGAAUGUAAUCAUCGAACUCUUCAAUUAACCCCAAAACCACUCUUCGAUAAUUAAUCAACUUGGAGUCCCUUGUCUUCCAUUCACCUUUAAGCUGGUAAAUCACUAGCGUUGAAUCUUCAUAUACUUCCAGUACUUUAACCCUGCAUUCUAUAGAUGCACGGAGUCCCAUAAUGCAUGCCUUAUACUCUGCCAUAUUAUUUGUGCAAUCAAAAUCCAAUUUACACGUGAAUGGAUAAUGAUCUCUAUUUUGGGAUACCAAGACUUCCCUAAUUCUAUUACCCACAACAUUUGAGGCUCCGUCAAAGUUCAAUUUCCAAGGAUAAUCUUUUGUAACGUCCUCUUUGGCAGCUGCCACAUACAUUAUCUCUUCAUUGGGGAAGUCAAAAUUUAAGGGCUCAUAAUCUUUUAAAGCUAUGCUAGCCAGAAAAUCUACUAUUGUGCUCCCUGUCACAGCUUUUUGGCUCACAUAGGCUAUGUCAAAUUCAGAAAGUAGAAUUUGCCACCUAGCCAUCCUUCCAUUUAAGGCAUUUGACUCCAUCAUAUAUUUUUACUGAGAUAAUAUAUCACCUUUUCCUUUCUUUUUGACUCAUCAUGCUGACCAAGCACACAUCUCAUAGAGUUAUCAAACACUGUUAAAUACAAUAUUAACGACCUAUCUGGGUUUGGAGGUGACAAUACUGGGGGACUUGACAAGUACUUUUUAACCUUAUCAAAAGCUUUCUAGCAUUCAUCAUCCAAUUCUCCUAGGUUGUGCUUUUUAAGAAGACGAAAUAUGGGAUCACAUUUCUCAGUCAAUUGUGAAAUGAACCGAGCAAUGUAAUUUAGUCUUCCCAGGAAGCCUCGAACUUUUUUUUGAGUACAUGGUGGAGACAAUCCUUGUAUAGCUCGAACUUUGUCUAAGUCAAUCUCAAAUCCCCUCUCACUGACUACAAAGCCUAGCAAUUUUCUCGAUCUAGCUCCAAAAGUACAUUUUGUUGGAUUAAGCUUUAGUUGAAAUUUUCUCAGUCUCAAGAACAACUUUCUCAAAACUUGGAUAUGUUCUUCUUCGGUUCAAGAUUUGGCUAGCAUAUCGUCGACAUACACUUCGAUUUCCUUAUGCAUCAUGUCAUGGAACAAAGUCACCAUGGUUCUUUGAUACGUUGCUUCUGCAUUCUUCAGCCCAAACGGCAUCACCUUAUAACAGAAGGUACCCCACAAGGUUAUGAAAGUAGUCUUUUCCAUAUCUUCAGGAUGCAUCUUUAUCUGAUUAUAUCCUAAGAAACCAUCCAUAAAGGAAAACAAUAAAUAGCCUGCCGUAUUAUCCAUCAGAGUAUCAAUGUGAGGCAAGGGAAAGUUAUCCUUUGGGCUAGCCUUAUUUAAGUCUCUAUAAUCCACACACAUUCACACCUUUCCGUCUUUCUUAAGAACAGUCACAACAUUAGCUACCCAUUCUGAGUACUUGAUCACCUGAAAGAAUCCAGCAUCAAAUUGCUUUUUGACUUCCUCCUUUAUUUUUAGCACAAUGUCAGGCCGCAUCUUUCGAAGUUGCUGCACUGGAAUCCUGCUCCAUUCAAUGAUGACUGUUACAUUUACAAACUUCAAAGACCGAAAAGAACAUUCGAUUACUUCAUCAUUUGUCUCUAAAUAAGGUGCAUCACCAGUUAUAGCUGCAAUAAUAUCUUUUUCGGCGUUUAUCGUUACCAGUCGUCCUUUUGAUACUAACUUUAACUUUUGAUGUAACGACAAAGGCACUACCCUGGCCGAAUGUAUCCAAGGUCUCCCUAACAAGAAGUUGUAGGAGGGUUUAAUGUCCAUUACUAAGAAGUCCACCUCAUAUGUAGUCGGGCCAAUCAACAAACGUAUUUCUAUUCUCUCCAUGACUCUUCUGUCUGUGCCAUCGAAUGCCCGCACUAUAUUCUGACACCCCCUCAUGUGCGAGCUAUCUAUGGGUAAUCUACUUAAUGUAGACAAGGGUAAAACAUUCAAUGCCGACCCAUUAUCUAUCAAAACUCUUAGCAAAUGUGUAUCUUUUGCAUCUGGUGGUUAUAUAUAAGGCUUUAGUAGAUCUCGUACCUCCUAGUGGUAUCUCAUCAUUAUUGAAGAAGAUAAAGUUAUUAGAACUUAUGUUAUUAACCAACCGAUCCAACUUAUUGACAGAGAUAUCAUUGGUCACGUAUGUCUCGUUUAGCACUUUCAUCAAUGCACUUCGGUGUACCUCUGAACUUAAGAGUAAAGCUAGUAUAGAUAUGCUAGCUAGUUGUUUAUGCAACUGUUCCACCACACUGUACUCACUAUGCUUCAGAAAUUUGAGGAACUCCUUAGCUUCAUCCUCUUUCACUGGUUCAUUAACAGGCAGCUCAGGUUCAACGGCUUUUCCCUUCUUUUGUUCCACUGUCGAAGCUUUUCCUUUUACCGGUUCUAUUUGGGCAUUUAUCAAAUCAUAGCAUCUUCCACAACGCGUGUGAGAACUUACAUCCUGAUCCUCCUUUAAAGUGCUGGCUGAACUCUCUUUUCUUGGGACUGUCGUAUUACAAUCAUAAUUCCAAAGGACCCUUUUGUUAUCUUUGUAAGAGAAAACUACUAGUUUCUGAAUUAUGAUCUUCGGUGUCAUCUGAACCCCCGCUUCAUUUUUAGGACAUGAAAUAAUGACCACAGGAUAAUUGACUUUUGGAACCUUCGUUGUUAAUUCUGAUGCGCAUAUACACCCUUUCUCUUUUGCCUCAUCAUAAAAUUCUAUCUCUUUGUUGUCCAUCAAGGAUUGAAUCAAAGCUCUGAACUCCUCACAUUCUUGAAUUUCCUGUCCCUCUUCAUGAUGGAACUCAUAGUAGUUCCCUGUCUCUUCACCACUCUUUUCUGGAUUCGAGACAACUAACCCUCUUUUUGCCAUCUCCUUCCAGACCCAACUCAAAGGAGUUUUUACUUUUGUAACAUCUACUUUGAUUCUUCUUCCUAUAGUUCCAUCUAUCACGUUUAACCCACCAUUGGUAUGAUUAGGUAAUAGAUUUUCUACGCUGGGCGCAUUAUCAAACUUCAGAAUGCCCAUUUGAAUAAAUCUUUCCACUAACUUCUGAAAGGUAGUAAAAUUUUCUAUCGAAUGCCUUGUGAUCCUUGCAUGAUAUUCACAUUGAGCAGGCAUCAAACAAACUUUGAUAUAACUCCUUAUACGUCAUGGGGAUUGGCGUAAAUUGGAGCUUUUCAAUGUUUUGCUUCGUUCCAGAUUCUUAUCUUGAUGAGCUCUGACCAGCAAACAUUAUUUUUGGCUGGCUUACAGUAAUAGACUUUGAAUACCCCAUAUUUGCAUUGUUCACCUCAUUUUCCUUUUUUCACGGGGCAGACCUUUUAACAUUCUCCCCUGCCUCUAUCUUUCCACUUCUUAUUGCAUUCUCAAUCAUUUCUCUAGUCAUUACCACGUCUAAAAAACUUCUUGUGGCACUUCUCAGCAUGUGAGUGAUGAAUGGGGCCUUUAGAGUAUUAAUAAAGAGUAUCGUGGUUUCCUUCUCCAAGAGUGGCGACUGGACCUGGAUAGCCACUUCUCUCCAUCUCUGUGCAUAUUGUCUGAAACUUUCAUUCGAUUUCUUCUCCAUAUUCUGCAGAGUAAUCCUGUCAGGAGUCAUAUACGUUACAUGGCUGUACUGCUUCAUGAAUGCUUGCGCUAAUCUCUCCAUGAACUAAUUCUGUUUUGACUCAAUUGAUUGUACCAUUUAGAUGCUGUUCCCACCAAGCUGUCUUGGAAGCAAUGGAUCAGUAGUUGAUCGUUAUUAACACACCAAGUCAUUCUUCUGCAGAACAUAGUAAUAUGGGCUUCAAGGCAAGUGGUCCCAUUAUACUUGUCGAAUUCUAGCAUUUUGAAUUUGUAGGGGAGCGCUAAGUUUGGGACCAAACUCAGAUCUUUAGCAUAAAUUCCAUCAUGACUGUCAGCGCUUUCCAUUGCCCUAAACUUUUCCUCUAGCCAUUUACAUCAUUCCUCUAAUUGUUUUUGUGAUUCUAUCCUUGUUCUUUCCUCUUCCGCAACUUCAUCCAAAUCAGGAACAAUUGGAUUAUUUGAGUUAUUACCAGGGUUAGAGCUUGAGCCAGCCUGGAAAUUCAUUGGUAUCAAAGCUCCAAUUUGAAAUUGUUAUGGCCUAAUCGUAAUAGAUGGUCUCCAUGGGUUUAUCUCAGGUUGCGUCUGUACAUGUGUUGGAGUAAAACCCGGAGGAUAUUGAGGGUCUUCAUUUUCCUCAACAUUGUCCAUGGGGCCUUUUCCUUUAUCUAUUCUCCCAACCAGCAGUUGGGUCAUAAUGUUUCUUUAGGACUCCAUCAUUUGAUCCUUCAUCUCUUGCUGAAUCUUAGCUAGCUACUCUUGCAUCUGUGCUUGCAUUUGCUCUUGCAUAUCCUUUUACAUUUUCUUUAAUUUUUCUAGUCUUUUGUCUAUUGCUUUGGUUUUCUUUCUUGUACCGUAGGGGCCUGUACUUGGUUGGUUUUUUUCGAUUUCUAGAUUACUGAAAUAAUUUUUAAUUAAUUAGGAUCUUUUGAUGGCCUUUAAUGCAUAUGAUGUAAUGUAAUGCAAAUACAUGAAAUGAAUGCAAAGAAAAUGUCGAUUCUGAUUCAAUUCCAUUUAGAAACCUUCACUAGAAAACAAAAUCCUUUACAUAAAAAUGAGUUACAAAUAAGGCUUUGGCCUAAUGUUCAAAGCUUUAAUUUUCCUAAGCAGUGAAGCUAGCUCUUGUCCCCAAUCUGACUUUAUCUCAUACUUUACACUAUGUAUGUCUGCUUGUACCGCCAAAGUCUACAAGUAAUCGGCUACGACCCGAAUUUGAUUUAUGGCCUUUCUCAUAAUGUAAUCCCUGUUUCUGACUUAAUUCUACGAAUGGUGAAGCUGCUCCUUCCAACGCUCUUCAUUUGCUUCGAAGAGCUCAAUCCACAUUUCACAGUUUUGUAAUGCUGUUUCUAAGUCUUCUAUUUUUCUUUUCAUUUCCUCUAUCUUACUUAAGCUUGCUCUCAAGUCCAUCAUGGAAUUACGAUUUCGAUACUGAUAAAGAGAUUUUUCAAUUUCCGCUACUCUAGCCUUUAAUUCGUCUCGUUCAUUUCUUCUUUCUGACAGACUUUUCUCUAUGGCCUCAUUUCGUGCUUGAGCCUCUUGAAAUUUCCUUUCCCAGUGAUCAGCUUUAGUUUUUUCCUCUCGAAUCUCCUGGCUCAGGAAUAUUAUCAUUAAUCCUUUUACUAAACCAUCCAUUGUAUUUAGGAGUCGUCAUUGAACCCACGACUAAUCUCUUCAUCCAAUGGGUCUGCUUCCAAGCAUCAAAGACCUCUCAAACCUUUUUCUUGUAAUUGUCUCCCCUAUACAAGAACUCAAAUUGAGCCAGACUAUGCGUCGUCAGUAUAAACUACCUUGACUUGUAUUGCCGUAACACAAGAAAUGGAGCAUACCCCACGGCUCCCCAAAUUCCAAGCAAAGGUACCCAAUUAAACUCCCACACCAAUAAAGGAUCUUGUCGGGGACCAUCCAAAAGGCUCUCCAUUCAAUAGCCUCCUCUUUGAGAUUUUGAAGAAUUUCCAUCCAUCUUUCUUUUGAAAUGUCGUCCCUUCUUUGCAUAGCUGCUUCUCCUUUAAUGGGGAGUAACUCCCAGAGAAAAACCGGUAAGAAACUUUAUCCACCUUCCAGAAAUGUCCAUGAAACCAUACCAAUAAUAGUUGCGCGUAUCCAAUAAAUUUGCCUUCUCUUGCCCUUCGACACAUGCUCAAAGAGCUGAAUGUCUCGACUAGAAUUGCAGGUACAGGUGUGACUCUCUUAUCAAGACGAUCGAAUAAAUCAGUGACUGCUUCAUCUAUGUGCCUUAAAGCUUUAGGAAAAAUCACCAAACCAUAAAUGCUCAAGGCGAAGAUGUCAACUUUCUUCUUUACAUUCGGAUGUACUAAAAUCAAGUCUCUCAAAUUCACCCAAGGAAUACAUUUACCAUCCCCCUUUUGCUGAAUUUGAGCCGUAACCCAAGACUCACUCAUCCCGGUAAUAUUUCAUUAACUUCUUUACAAAAGUUGGGACAUUAGCGGCCCUAGAGUAAGUUUUACUGACUUGAAUCCUUGGACAGCGUACCAAGGUAGUAUAUUCUUCCACAGUGGGCACCAAGUCUGCCUUCCCAAAGGUGAAACAACUAUAGGCAAGGUUCCAAAACUGAGCCAUAGCCCGAAAUAAAUGCUUGUCUACCUUGAUAUCGAGUAAGUAGGGCAUAUCACUAUAAUUUUGGUAGAACAACUGCAUAGUUCCCUCAUCCCAAUGGGCCCAUAUGUCUCUCAAUUUGAUGUGCAAGAUAAGUUUUAUAUUUAUGAUUAAUCAUCUUGAAAACUAACUAUUAUCACGGUAAAGGCAAGCGCGCACCUAUCGAACAGUAGUAUAGCUUAUAGCAAGACCGGAAUGUCGAACUCACAGGAACUAAAAGUACUAGUAUUGACCUUCUUUUAGUUAUCUAGCCUAAAAUAAGGGGAUUUGCUUUAUCUGAACUAAUUAACAAAACUAAGAAUGCACAGAAAGUAAAUUGGGGAAAUACUUUUGGGAAAGUUGAUUGAUUUAGACAAUACCCAAGGAAGAAUCCACCUAGACUUUACUUGUUAUUUGACUCUGAACUAGACAAUUUAUUCACUUGACUUGAUCCGUUGAAAUCCCUAAUUUAUAUUAUUAUCUCUCUCGAGACUAGCAACGUCUAACCCUAGGUUGAUUAAUUGAAAUCUCUUUCUAAUUAAAACCCCUAGUGUUACAUUAACUCGAUCUAUGGAUUCCCUUAUUAGGUUUGACCUUAAUCUAGCAGAUUUAUGUCACCCUAUGUCUAGGGGUGUAAUCAACUCCGCUUAAUUAUGCUAGAUCUACUCUUAGACAGAGACUUUUUCUCCUCUGAAUAAGUACAUCAAUACUUGAAUCAAUAUCUUGGAAUAUUAAAGUAAGAAUUAAGAACACAUAAUUAAGAACAAAUCAAGUAUUUAUCAAAUAAUUUAGAAAAUAGUAACAAGAUCCAUCUUAGGUUUCAUCCCCCUUAGGUAUUUAGGGGAUUUAGUUCAUAUGUGUAAAAGAAAACAUCUCAGAAGAAUAAUCAUAACAAAACAUAAAGAAACCCCAAAAACCUUGGAAGAAAUAGAAGGGAGAUCUUCAGUCUUGAAGGAGAAUUUGGCUUCUGAGAUGGAUCAAUCGGCUUUCUUCGAGUAAUUCCUUGCCUCCCACUCUUUCCCCCUUUUUAAUCCUCAUUUAGGGUGUUUAUAUAGGCUUUAGAAUGCCUAAGAACUCUCCAAAGUGGCCUUUUCCGAGUAGAACUAGACUUGGGCUCGACAGGACACGACCGUGUGACACGCCCGUGUGGGGUGGCUUAGGCCAUGUUAGAGUCUGCUAAAUAGACACGAGCGUGUGGUCUACCUGUGUGAGGAAGUCCAGGUCGUGUUGAUUUCCCACGUUGACCCAUUUUCUCCGUUUUUUGGCCCGUUUCUCGAUUUUUUUACUCUCCUAUGCUUACCUAAGUAUAAAACAUGAAAUUAAAGGAUUCAGAGCAUCAAAUUCCACAAAUCUAAUGAUAAUUCAUCCAAAAAUGUGCUUAAGCAUGGGAUAAAAUAUGUAUAAAUUACGACUUAUCAAAUACCCCCACACUUAAGGGUUUGCUUGUCCUUAAGUAAAGUCCUCAAUUCACAAUUGAGAAUUCAUUUUUCUCAACUUAUAAUUCCUAUCUAUAAUAUCUCAAAAUAAUCCAUAAGUAAUCAUACAUUGAGAAUUCAACUAGAAGAACAUCAAAGUUUCAAACAUUCCAAGUUGAGCAUUUUAUCACAAAAACAUUGGUGUAUCCCCUCAUCUAAGUAAUCACCUUUGAUUCAAAAUAUCACAGAAUUUAACAUCCUCACUAAAAGUUCACUCAAAUCACUCGAGGUGUUUAAGGACAAGAAAUUUAGCACUCACCAGUCAAUAUGAAAAGUUAUUACCACAGGCUUGCGUGAAAAUUAAAUCUCCACCAUUAUAUAUUGAGAUGAUACAUCAAUCAAAAGGUCUUUCGAUGAUUGUAACGUGGCUUUGGUUAGGGGGUGUGGUCACAAGCUGAAAGAGAAAGCUAGAAUCGAGAUUGAAUUGAAAAAUUACCUAACUAGAAAAAUACUAAAACUGACAAAUUACAUCCCUAAUUAGAUGAUCCUAGAAUUGAGCUUUUGUUCAUGGAUAACAUCGUUUUAAUCCAAGCAUUACAUAAUUUUGUCAUAUGCUAGACGAAAAAUCUCAAUUGCAGCACUUCAUUUUUUUUAAGAACAUAGAACUUUGCUAAAUAUCAAAAAUAAAACAUAGCUAAGCAAUUUAUUCAAAUCAAAUCUCGACAAAAAUAAGGAUCAAAUUAAUUGAGGGGAUUUCAACAAUAAUGGGUUAAGGGUUAAUAUUGAGGGUAAAUUAAUGAAUGGCUUGUUAGGCUCAAGGGGGUUCACUAAGGGUUAAUUAUGAAGGUAGACUUUUAUGGAGUUAGUGAGUUAAACCUAAGUGCCUUUAUCAUCUCGACAUAUCAAAUCAAUGGUGUGGUCUUGACAUGCAUAAUCAAAGCAAGUUCUAGAAUAACAAAUCAAUAUUGACGCACUCAUAACAACAAUAAAAGUGAGCAUGAAAGGAAUAAUAUAUGCUCUAAAGGCUCAAGAUCUCACAAAAAUUGUUGUUUUUGAUGUUAACCCUGUAAAUUUCAACUUCAAGAGAAUACCUAAACUUGGGGAAAUAACCUAAAAAUUUUUAAUUCCCAACAAUCAACUUAUCAUACUUGAUUCUCUAAUUUCUUAAAGUUUAAACAAUUAAUGCAUAAAUUCCUAUGUUUUAAUUCAAGACAUAUCAAUAAAAAUCAUAAACUAAUCAAAAUUUCAUUCUAAUAGUGAUAUGAGUGAGUCAUUUGAGAAAAAGACAAAAUUCAGGGAUUUUUCUGAUAAUAAUAUAAAUAACCCCCCACACUUAAGAUGUACAUUGUCCUCAAUGUACAAAGAUAGAUUUACUGAAAAAUAUAGAUAUAAGAUCAUAAGAUAGGGAGAGAAGUGAAACUUCCUGGAUGUUAAAUGGAAUCCUUGAAUUAGAGUCAUGGAAAGUAAUCGACUAAGGCAAGGGUGAGAUUUGGAGGAGGAUACUCCGGUGGUGGUAGAGGUUGUUAGUCUACGAGUGUUGUACCAAAAGAAUAUUAUAACUAGUGAUAGCUAUGGUCAUGGUCGAGUAGGGCAUGGCAGUCGUGGAGGACCUUUUCCAGUGGAGCUGCAAAUUCCUAAGUAAUAACUAAAAUAACUCUUAGCGAAAUAGUCGAAAAUAUAAAUUGCUUAAUAUAAAUUGUAAAACCUAAAGAUGAAGUAAGAAUAGCAUUAAACAGAAAUAUGAUAAAAAGUAAGUUAAAAAGAGAAAUAAAGAUAAAAAUAAAAAUAAAUAAAAGAUGAAUAGUAGGGGUUUAUAAAGAUAUUGAGGCACAUGGCCGUGGGGCACGCUCUUGUGCCUUUAUUUUAGCCUGUGUGUUUCGUGGUUUUCAAAUUUGGAUGCGUUGGUGCACACGGCUGUGUUGCACAGCCAUGUCAUUUUGACAGUUUCAACCACGGGUGGUGGGCACGGGCGUGUCACAUACUCGUGUUAAUUUGGCAGGAUUGCCCACUACCAUGUCGUACGGUCCUGGCAACGUAUCGAAUCGCGUGUUUUGGGAAAAAAUUUACUUUAUUUUCACACGGCCGUAUCGUAAGGUCGUGUCACCUCCCGUGGUAUGAGCACGACCGAAGGCACGCCCUUGUGUCUGGCCGUGUGGAUUUGGAAAACCUGUGUUCAAGGACUUAGUUAAUGAUUUAGAUGUUAAAAACUAAAAUUUAAAGAAAUCAACACCGUUAGUGCUCGGGUUGCUUCCCGAGAAGCGCUUAUUUAGAGUCUAAGCUCAACUCUACCUUGUGGGUAUAUUCAGGUAAGUUCGUGGAGCCAUAGCUCCUCUUUAUCAUCUUUAAAAUUCUCACUGUUAUAAAGUUUGAGACAAUGCCCAUUUACCUUAAAAGUGCCUUGUGAUGGAUGACUUACCUCUACUGUGCCAUAUGGAAACACAGUUUGGACUACGAAAGGACCUGUCCAUCGUGACUUAAGCUUUCCAGGAAACAAUUUGAUCCUCGAGUUAUAUAACAAGACAAGAUAUCCAACUUCAAAUUGCUUGCGUUGCCUCAAACGAGCGUCAUGGCGGCGCUUCGUUGCUUUCUUGUAUAGGCAUGAAUUUUCAUAUGCAUUGUUUCGCUACUCAUCUAACUCAUUCAACUGCAUCAACCUAUUUUCACCUACAAGUUUGGGAUCAAGGUUUAGAAAUUUUAUAGCCCAGAAUGCCUUAUGUUCUAACUCAAAUGGUAGAUGAAUACUUUUUCCGUAAACAAGUCUGUAAGGGGAUGUUCCUAUGGGGGUCUUAAAAGCAGUUCUAUAAGCCCAUAAAGCAUCACCUACUUUCAUCGCCCAAUCCUUCCUGUUUGAUUCUACUAUCUUUUUUAGGAUACGUUUGAGCUCUCGGUUUACUACUUCGACUUGUCCACUAGUUUGAGGAUGAUAGGGGGUAGCUAUUCUGUGGUGAACACCGUAUUUCUUAAAGGGUCUUAUCAAAUUGGGCGUUACAAAAAUUAGUACCCUUAUCAUUAAUAAUUGCUCUAGGUGUUCCAAAUCGAGAGAAGAGUUUCUUAAGGAAUCGUACUACCACUCUAGCAUCAUUAAUAGGUAAAGCUUGGGCUUCCACCCAUUUAGACAUAUAAUCAACGGCUACUAAUAUGUAUUUAUUUCCAAAUGACCUGGGGAAUGAACCCAUGAAAUCAAUACCCCAUAUAUCAAAUAUUUCACAUGAGAGCAUGUAUGUCUGGGCAUUUUGUUACGUCUAGAGAUAUUACCUGUCCGUUGGCAUUUAUCGCAAGCAUUUAUCGCAAGUAGCAACAUACCUGUUGGCGUCCUUGAAAAGUGUAGGCCAAUAAAAACCUGAUUCGAGUAUUUUAUGUGCGGUCCUAUUUCCACUGUAAUGUCCUCCAGUUGGUUCUGAGUGGUAAUGUUCCAAGAUAUUCAAUGCUUCUGAGCUUGUAAUGCAUCUCCUAAUGACUUGAUCUAUACAUAUACGGAAAAGGAAAGGGUUUUCCCAAAAGUAGUUUUUCACAUCAGUAAAGAAUCGCUUCUUUUGUUGACGUGUCAACCCUUUUGGGAUAAUGUUAGUGGCUAAAAAUGUCUACAAAUCAAGGUACCUCAGAAUCAGAUAUAGCAAAAAAUUGUUCUUCAGGAAAUGAAUCAUUUAUUUCAACUUCAUCUGGCUCUUUGGUACUUGAAUUUUCAAGCUUGGAAAGAUGAUCAGCCGCGAGAUUUUAAGCUCCAUUCUUAUCUUGAAUCUCCAAGUCAAAUUCCUGCAAUAACAAAAUCCAUUGAAUAAGUCGAGGUUUUGCAUCGGUCUUAUUAAAAGGUAGCGAAGAGCAGAAUGAUUAGUAUAAAUGACAACUCUAGACAAUAUUAGAUAUGGCUUAAAUUUAUCGAAUGCAAAAACCACAAAUAGCAGCUCUUUCUUCGUGGUGGUGUAGUUUUCUUAUGCGACUGUCAAAGUUUUGCUAGCAUAAUAGAUAGGUUGAAAAUGCUUGUCUCUUCGCUGUCCCAAAACUGCACCUACUGCAAAAUCACUCGCAUCGCACAUUAGUUCAAAAGGUAAAUUCCAAUCAGGUGCAAUUAUAAUUUGAGCUUUAAUCAAUUUAUCCCUUAAAGUAUUAAAUGCCUCUAAACAUUCCUGAUCAAAGUUAAAAGGCACAUCUUUUUCUAGUAAUUUAGUCAAAGGCUUAGUUAUUUUAGAAAAGUCUUUAAUAAAUCUUCUAUAAAACCCAGCAUGUCCUAAAAGGCUUCUAAUAGCCUUAACCGAACUAGGGGGAGGUAGUUUUUCAGUGGUUUCAAUUUUAGAUUUAUCAACCUUAAUCCCUUUACUAGAAAUUUUAUGACUAACACAAUACCUUCUUAAACCAUAAAGUGACAUUUUUCCCAGUUAAGUACAAGGUUCAUUUCCUCACAUCUUAUUAAAACUUUUUUCAAAUUUUUAAGGCAAAGAUGGAAAGAGUUACCGAAUACCGAGAAAUCAUCCAUAAGUACCUCCAUGAUGUCUUCUACGAGUUCAUCAAAAAUGGCCAUCAUGCAGUGCUGAAGAGAAGCAGGAGCAUUACAUAAUCCAAAAGGCAUUCUUCGAUAAGCAAACGUAUCGUAUGUACAUAUGAAUGUCGUCUUUUCUUGAUCUUCAGGAGCUAUUGGGAUUUGAAAAUACCUAGAGAGUCCAUCUAAAAAGCAGUAGUACAUGUGCCCGGAUAAUCUUUCCAACAUUUGGUCAAUGAAUGGAAAGGGGAAGUGAUCUUUUCUCAUGGCGUCAUUCAGCUUCCUAUACUCAAUGCAAACUCUCCAACAUGUGACUGUCCUUGUUGGGAUUAAUUCAUUCUUCGCAUUGGCUACAACAGUCAUGCCUCCUUUCUUAGGAACAACUUGCACUGGACUUACCCAAGAACUGUCAGAAAUAGGAUAAAUUAUUCCAGCAUCUAGGAGUUUGAUUACCUCAGCUUUAACAACUUCUUUCAUGUUGGGGUUCAGUCGUCUUUGAGCUUGCACACAUGGUUUAUAAUCAUCUUCAAUUAAAAUUUUGUGGGUGUAAAAAGAAGGGCUGAUCCCUUUAAUGUCAGAAAUUUUCCAAGCUAUGACUCUUUUAUGUUCUCUUAAUACUUGGAGCAAUUCCUCUUUCUCAUUGGGUUGCAAGUUAGAAGCAAUAAUCACUGGUAAUGUAGAAUUAUUUCCAAAGAAUACGUAUUCCAAGUGAUUUGGCAAUUGUUUAAGUUCCAGUUUGGGAGGUUCUUCAAUAGAGGGUUUUUGCUUUUCAGUUCAUUGUUUACCUUAAUACCCUCAUAUUCUGCUUGUCUUGGGGAGGGUUCAUUGGAAUUUAGUUUAGCUUUUAUCUUACCUAUCUCAGAAUCAUCAUCAUCUACCUCCUCUCCUUGGGCAAGACACAAUUCCAACAUGUCCUUAUGUAUGAUUUCCUGAAAAGGAUCUUGAGUAGCAUGAUCGAUAAAGUCAAUAAAAUAACAUGAUUCAUCCUGUUCCCUAGAAAAUCUCAUUGCAUAAUAAAUUUUAAAAAUAAUCUCUUCGUCACCUACUCUAAGUACCAAUUUAGCAUCACCCACAUCAAUAAUAGCCUUAGCAGUGGCUAAAAAUGGACGACCUAAGAUUAAGGGUGCUUCAACAUCUUCAUCCAUGUCAAGCAUAACGAAAUUAACAGGGAAUAUAAAUUUAUCUACUUUUACAAGUACGUCCUCUAUAAUACCCCUAGGAUAUUUAAUAGAUCUAUCAGCUAGUUGAAUACUUAUCCUAGUGGGUUUAGGUUCCCCAAGACCAAGUUGUUUAAACAUUUUAUAUGACAUCAAAUUAAUGCUAGCGCCUAAAUCAGCUAGUGCCUUAUCAACAUUCAAACUACCAUUUAAGCAGGGAAUAGUCAAACUUCCUGGAUCUUUCAGUUUGGUUGGUAGUUUAUUUUGGAGUAUGGCCGAGCACUCCUCAUUAAGUUCCACUGUAGAUAGGUCUUAAAAUUUCCUUUUAUUUGUUAGAAAAUCCUUUAAAAAUUUUGCAUAUGUAGGCAUCUGCUAUAUAGCUUCAACAAAAGGUAAGUUAAUAUGCAGUUGUUUAAAAAGUUCAAGAAAUUUAUCAAAUUGUGCACUCCUGUGGUCUUUCUUCAACUUUUCUGGAUAUGGGAUUGGUGGUUUAUAUUCAUUUGGCAUUAGAUUGUCAUUGUUUUCGGGUUUUACUUCCUCUCUUUCAUUUCUGUCAGCUUCUUGUGGUGGCUUCUUUUCAGAUUCAGCUAACACUUUCCCACUCCUUAGUGUAACUGCUUUCUCAUGGUCUUUUGAAUUGGGUUCGGUGUUACUAGGUAGACUUCCUGGUGGUCUUUCUGAAAUCAAUUUAGCAAGCUAGCCUAUCGAGCCCUUGGAUCGACGCUUGUUGAUUCUUAAGUACUGUUUCGGUAUUUUGAAAAUGAAUUUCUGACACCGAGAUGAAUUUCGUUAGCAUCUCUUCAAGGGUCGGCUUCUUUUCCUACUGGUAAGGUGGUUAUUGAAAAUCUGGGGGAUGUUGUGGCAUUUAAUUUCCUUGGUCACCCCACGAGAAGUUGGGAUGGUUCCUCUAACAUGCAUUAUAAAUGUUACUGUACGGGUUAUUUUGAGAUCUAGAAUUAUCGUUAUCCAUAUAUUAAACUUGUUCCUCCUCGGUGCUAGGGUUAAAGGGUGGAAAAUCUGGGUUGUGCAUUCCUUCAUUUGAAUCACACCUCAUCACUGGAUGUACCAGAGUAGAACCAUAUAAACUAGGAUGUACCUGAGUAGAACCAUAUAAACUAUCGGUCUUUUUUUUAAAAGUUCUACCUGGUAUGACAGCAUAGUGACGCGUCGAGGUUGAAAACACCAGCUGCUUUUGUCGGCUUUUUUCUCAUGACUCGCCACUAAUAGUUAUUCAGUGACAUCUCUUCAAUAAAUUCAUAAGCCUCUUCAGGUGUUUUGUUGUUUAAAGUUCCACCGGUGGCUGCGUCGAUGAGUUGUCUUGUUGAGGGGUUCACACCAUUGUAAAAAGUCUGAACCUGCAGCCAUAGAGGUAACCCAUGGUGAAGGCAGCUUCUUAAUAGGUUCUUGUAUCUCUCUCAUGCAUCAUAAAGUGUUUCUAAAUUCAUCUGCACAAAAGAAUAAAUAUCAUUCCUUAAUUUAGCCAUUUUAGCCGGCGGAAAGUAUUUAAGCAAAAAUUUUUUGGUCAUUUGUUCCUAAGUGGUGAUCGAUCCUCGUGGUAACGAGUUCAACCACUGUUUAACCUUAUUCCUCAAUGAAAAGGGAAAUAAACGAAGGCGAAUGGCAUCAUCAGAAAUGCCAUUGAUCUUAAAGGUAUCGCAGAAUUUCAGAAAAUUUGCCAAAUGAGUGUUUGGAUCCUCGUCCUACAAACCAUGAAACUGAACAAACUGUUGUAUCAUUUGAAUUGUGUUAGGUUUCAGUUCAAAAUUAUUUGCAGCAAUAGCAGGUCUAACUAUACUCAAUUCAGCUCCUGUGAAAAUAGGAUUAGCAUAAUCAUACAUAGUACGAUGAGCAGGAUCCUGAUUUACUGGGUUCGCAACAGCUACAGGAGGUAGCGGAUUAUUAUGAUUAUAAGUCAUCUCCUCGGUUAUGGUUUGAAUAUCGUCCUCUUGCACUUCCUCUAUGUAUUGUAGACUUCACCUUAUCUCUCGUCGGUUUCUACGAGUUGUGCUUUCGAUCUCACUAUCAAAAAGUAGAGGUCUUGACGGGUUUCUUCUAGUCAUAAACUAUAAAAACCUGCUAGAAGCAAAAGAAAAAUUUAAUAAUUUAGGCAAAAAUAAAUUUAAAUUGCGAUAAAAAUAAAUGGAAAAAGUAAUAAAAAUUAAAGUUCUUAAUAUCUUAGUUCCCCGGAAACGGCGUCAAAAACUUGAUGUGGUGAUAAGUUUUAUAUUUAUGAUUGAUCGUACUUGAAAACUAACUAUUAUCACGAUAAAGGCAAGCGCACCUAUCUAACAGUAGUAUAGCUUAUAGCAAGACCGGAAUGUCAAACCCACAGGAACUAAAAGUACUAGUAUUAACCUUCUUUUUAUUAUCUAGCCUAAAAAUAAGGGGAUUUGCUUCAUCUAAACUAAUAAGCUAAACUAAGAAUGCACAGGAAGUAAAUUGGGGAAAUACUUUUGGGAAAACUGAUUGAUUUAGACAAUAUCCAAGGAAGCAUCCACCUAGACUUCACUUGUUAUUUGACUCUGAACUAGACGAUUUAUUCACUUGACUCGAUCCAUAGAAAUCCCUAAUUUAUAUUAUUAUCUCUCUCGAGACUAACAACGUCUACCCCUAGGUUGAUUAAUUAAAAUCUCUUUAUAAUUAAAAUCCCUAGUGUUGCAUUAACUCUAUCUAUAAAUUCCUUUAUUACGUUUGACCCUAAUCCUACAGAUUUAUGUCACCCUAUGUCUAUGGGUGCAAUCAACUCCGUGUAAUUAUGCUAGAUCUAGUCUUAGACAGGGACUUUUGCUCACCUGAAUAAGCACAUCAAUACUUGAAUCAAUAUCCUGGAAUAUUAAAGCAAGAAUUAAGAACACAUAAUUAAGAACAAAUCAAGUAUUUAUCAUAUAAUUCAGAAAAUUGUAACAAGAUCUGUCUUAGGUUUCAUCCCCUUUAGGUAUUUAGGGGAUUUAGUUCAUAUGUGUAAAAGAAAAUAUCUUAGAAUAAUAAUCAUAACAAAACAUAAAGAAACCCCAAAAACCCUGAAGGAAAUUGAAGGGAGAUCUUCAAUCUUGAAGGAGAAUUCGGCUUCUGAGAUGGAUCAAUCGGCUUUCUUCGAGUAAUUCCUUGCCUCUCACUCUGUCCCCCCUUUUAAUCCUCCUCUAGGGUGUUUAUAUAGGCUUUAGAAUUCUUAAGAACCCUCUAAAGUAGCCUUUUUCGAGUAGAACUAGACUUGGGCUCGACAGGGACAUGCCCGUGUGACACUCCCGUGUGGGGUGGCUUAGGCCGUGUUAGAGUCAGCUAAAUAGACACAGGCGUGUGGUCUACACAUUUGAGGAAGUCCAGGCCGUGUUGAUUUCCCACAUUGACCCAUUUUCUCCGUUUUUUGGCCCGUUUCUUGCUCUUUUUACUCUCCUAUGCUCCCCUAAGUAUAAAACAUGAAAUUAAAGGAUUAGGACAUCAAAUUCCACAAAUCUCAUGAUAAUUUAUCCAAAAAUGUGCUUAAGCAUGAGAUAAAAUAUGUAUAAAUUACGACUUAUCACAAUUCCUGUAGCUCAUUUUGCGUCACACUGAUGCGGGUGAAGUCCCACAACUCUGAUGUAUACCCCUCAGCUAGACUAUCCCCUUUCUCUAAUUAUAACUUGUCUAACCAUGUACGGAUGACCGCAUUAUCCUCAACUUUAUUAAGAAAUUCAUUCUCCAUGCUAAGUCUUCUAACUUAGUAACCGAACACGAAUCGGCACCUCUUUAAAUAUGCAAUGUCAUGCAGUUAAAGCCAAAAUAAAACACACAAGUCAGUAUUAAAUAAUAAAAUUCAAAGCAAACAGAAAAUAAUCAAGCACCUAUCUGAAUAAUUGCUAAAAUUUAGCAUAACUCUACCUAUAUGAGGUGUGGUUCUAAAGAAAAGGGUACUUGAACCAGCAGGUUCCUCAAUCCUCACCCAUUAUAGACUCAUAUGAAUCGAGAUUAGUUCAGGGGAAUUCAUUUCCCUAUUACCAUGCAGAGAUGAAAAUCUCACGAAGACAUAGGUACAGAUAUAUCCCAGAAUCAAUCAACUAGCUCAUAUGAAGGUGAAAACCUCACGAAGGCAUAGCUUUUCACUCCCACUUAAAGGUGUAACCACAACGGUCAUGCAAUGCAAUGUAAUAAAAUUCUACAAGACUCAAACUACAACAAUCAUACAAACAAAUGCAACAAAGAAUCAUGAUUUUUCAAAUAAAAUUUUCAAUUUUCGACAAAAGGACAAAAAAAUAAUCAGUUUAUGGCUUGACUCUCUUAUUGUUCCCAGUGGAGUCAUCAAGCUGUCGAAACUAUUUUUUAUUUUGAAAAAUGCGGGGAUUGACUUUAAAAAUGAAACAUAGAGUCACCACCAAUAUUUUUUUCAAGGUGUGAUUGGGUCACCUUAAGAUUGACCAUUUUAAUAAAACAUUUCGAUUUAUUAAAACAAUGACUUUGGUCUACGAAAUUUGAGAAAACGGGUUUGGGAGUCGGCUACGUACAAGGAGGAUUAGCACCUUCGUUACGCCCAGAAUUUGUACCUAAUUGAUUAAAUAAUGUUUUUAUGUCUAAAAUUUAAAAAGAUUUUGAAAUAUGGUUUCUGUGUAAACAUUUGAAGAACUCGAAUUGGGUGUUAAAAUUUUCUUUUUCCGAAGGAAUAAAAAUAUCACAUACAGUAUGCUAGGAAGUGACCUUUUAAACCUUUGGAACCAAAGUCGACUCUUGAUUUUAAAAAAUUCUUGCAUUGAAAAUUACAAAAGGAUAUUCGAUUAUUUGGUCCAACAAAAAACCGAAACCUAACAUGUUAGGGCACGAUUUCUCGAAUUUCCAAACAUAGAACAUUGCCUUGUUUCGAAGUUUAGAAAGCAAGAAUGAGAUUUAGAAGGAAUAUUUGAUUAUUUGGACAAACAAAAAAUUGAAACCCAACACGUUAGGGCACGAUUUUUCGAAUUCCCAAACAUCAAACGUUGCCUUUGUUUUGAGAAAUUUUCAAAUAAACAAUUAUAAAGCUGGAUCAAAACGCAUUAGUUUGACUUGAAAUAAAAUGGAAUAAUCAAUUUUGGAUCAAUAAGUUGAAAUUUUCAAUUGUAAUGAGACACUCGUGAAGUAAAGGCGAAAUUAUAAGUACGGGACAAUAUACAUGAAUAAUGUACUAUACUAAUAAAUGAAAAUAGUAUAAAAAAUAAAGAACAAAUUAACAUACACACAAUAGCAAUGAGCUCACAUCCUAUUUUGAAAAACUAACAUUAAUAAUCAAAAUAAUGAAAACUAAAAAACAUAUAUAAUCAAAGGAACCAAUUAAAAUAAAAUAUAAUAAAUUUCCGAACAUAGAUGAAUAACAAUUGAAAUGAUAAUUCAAAUGAAUAAUAAACAAUAUACAAUAAUAAUAUAUGAAAUAAUAUGAAAACUAAAAAAAAACAUGUACUAUACAAAACAAUAUGGAAACUAGGAGUUAAUAUAAUGUAAAACCAUUCAAAAACUAUUAGAUAUAUGAAAAAUUUUAAAAUGAACCACACAUGCUAGGGUUUGAAAUAAUUUACAUGUAUAAAAAAAACUAAUAAUAUAUGAACAAUUAUUAAAAUAAAUGUUAUGAAAGAAGAAAUUUAGAUCAAAUUAUAUACAAAAUAUUUUAAAAAAAUGAAACAUAUAUUUAAAGUUGACAAUAUACAUACGAUAAAGAAUAAUUUAAAUAUAAAAUAUGAAAGGUUUCUAAAUAACAAAAAUAUAAUAAAAUAUGUUCUUAAUGAAUGAAGUAUAUACAUAAUAGAUUUUAACAAAAAAAUAUACAAAUAGAUUUAAAAGAAUUUAUAUAUAUAAAAUAACAUGGGAUUAAUAAUGUUCAUAGAAUGCAACUAACUUUAACACAAACUCUCUCUCUCCCUAUAUUAAUAUAAGGGUAAUUUAAAUUAAAUACUAUACAAAAUUUUAAAACAAUAUAAUAUAAAAGAGGAUCUGAAAAUCAUAAUCUUAUAAUUAAAAGAAGUAAAAUUAUCAAAGCAAUUCAAAAUGUAUGUAAAAAUAAUUUUGAAAAAUGAAUGCCCAAUGAAUUAAAAGAAUGAUGAAUUAUACAAAUUAAAACGAGAAAAAUAACUUAAUUGAAAUAAAAUCAAGCUAAAAGGGGCAGUUAACAAAUAAAAUAAACUGUUGAAAUUGAAAUAGGGACAAAAGUGCAGUGCGCGCGAAUGUGAGAGGACUGAAAAUGCAAAUAAUCCAAAUCCCCGAAACACAAUGUUUUGGUGCGUGCUAAAUUGAAAAGACACGCAAAUUCUACGAAAAAAUUUUAAACAAAAUAAAAUGUAAAUAAGGAUCAAUUAAAAGUCUGCACAAAGGCGAAGGACUAGCCGCGCAAAUUAAACAUUCGUAGCGCCAAGGCGCGGGUUCGGCUUAUGGAUCGGGUUUGCGCGCGGAUCUCAUCCCUUUUACACAGCACUGUUUCAAAUCUUACCCUUAAAUCUUCAUUCUCAUUUAUUUUUCUUCUAAAACACAGCAAAUCCUUUUGAUAAAAAAAAAGUCAUCAACCCAUUAUGCUAGGGUUUCAUUUAGCAUACAACCGCCGAACCACUAUCAUAUUUGGUGGCCGAUGGUGCACAAACAGUAACCCGAUCUUGCCAACGGAGGAGCCCCGACUAUGCCCAAGGUAAAAUGGUAAGUAUAUUCUUUCCCCUUAUCUUCUUUAUAUUUUAAAAAAUCUUCAAAUCUCAUGCUAUUUUUUCAAAAAAAAAAAAACCAAAGCGAGAUUUCAACAUUGUUCGACCCCCCGCCCAGACCUCUAUGUUUUCAAGGUGUUUGGGCUCUCAUCGGCGUCGACUCAUGUGUCAUUUUCUCAUAUUAAAAAAUCUAAACAAACAAAAAGAGAAGAAAUAAAUCGAAAAGAAAAGAAACAAAACUUGAGAUCACCUUUAAAAACUAUUCUCUGGUUGCUUUUUUAAAUUUUUAUUUGUAUGCGUAAGUAUUUACAGUACAAACGAUGGCUUUUUAUAGCCGAAAAAAUAAGAAUUAUAACUAAAAAAAUCGAUUUUAUUUUCUUUUAUUUUCUAUUCUUCUACUGUAUUUGGUGCUGUUACAUUCUGCUAUUGUUUUCUUCUCGUAGGUUCGACUGUACGAAGAGGUGGACGUGGCAAUGGCACUGGAGAUCCUUACUGAGGAGGCUGCGAUGUUGGCCCUAGGGUUUCAAUCCCUGAAGCCGAAAUUGGGCCACCUAAUUCAGGUUUCAAUUAGGUUUCGGGUUAGGUUAAUUGUGUUAAAGAUUUGUAUUUGGGCUAGGAUUUGGCCUUGGUUUUAUUUGGGCUUCAAUUAAAGCUUUGGGUUUUUGUAUUUAUAGACUGUGGAC